rnacentral:misc_RNA from 1 species
GGAGUGUGUCUGCAGGCAAAGAGGUUAAAAAUGCUAUUUCUAAGGAAAUUCCCGCCGCUAAGAUUGAUGCCAUGGAGUUGGAUCUCAGUUCAAUGGCAUCUGUGAGAAAAUUUGCAUCAGAGUACACUUCCUCGGGUCUUCCACUAAACCUUCUAAUUAACAAUGCAGGAAUAAUGGCGACUCCCUUCAUGCUUUCCAAAGAC